UACGGAGGAUCCGAGCGUUAUCCGGAUUUAUUGGGUUUAAAGGGUGCGUAGGCGGCUUUUUAAGUCAGGGGUGAAAGACGGUAGCUUAACUAUCGCAGUGCCUUUGAUACUGAAGAGCUUGAAUAUACUUGAGGUAGGCGGAAUGUGACAAGUAGCGGUGAAAUGCAUAGAUAUGUCACAGAACACCAAUUGCGAAGGCAGCUUACUAAAGUAUGAUUGACGCUGAGGCACGAAAGCGUGGGGAUCAAACAGG
rnacentral:rRNA from 1 species